GAAACAAACAGGGACUAUGUCCU
rnacentral:snRNA from 1 species